UAAAAACUAAAAACUAAAAACUAAAAACUAAAAACUAAAAAGGUAUGAAAAGAAAGUCGGAAUUCUAUCAAGAACCUUGUAUUCACUCUUCGACGGAAUAUUUGAAAUAUUCAUUCAAAGAGAGCGUUACGAGGUGCAAAUUCCAAGUGACUGCUGUUCGACAUUUGUAACUUGGGGUUUAACUAGACGUGUCCCACUCUUCCUCACACAGCGUGCUGCCGUGACGUAUUAUUGGUCGAAGCAAUUACACCCAUAGUAAAGUCUCCACAGAAACACACAUAUAUGUCCCCUAAUUGGGCUGCAACUAAUCCACACUAUUGGGGGGUCAUGGAAUUCGAUCGCCGAGUUUCGUCCAAUUUCGGAUGUUUAUCGACAGGCUUCAAAAGAAUGGAGAGAAAGAAACGGACAGCGAUUAAAGGAAGAGGACAGAGCGAAAACACCAUGGAAUGUCGAUGAGACAAUGUAAUGCAACGAUGAAACCUUUUUACUAUCAACUUUUUCAUUGUAAAACUUUUACCAUCAUAUUCCUGACAUUUUUCUAAUGAACAUGAGACCAAACACGAUAUAAUUCGAACGAUAUUUGUUAGAAUAUUCGAAAUAAUGUUAGGAUAUUCGAGCUAGACAAACGCCCGAAACGGGCCAUGUGUUUAGUCUCUGCGCGUUCCCCUUCUUAAAGGAGGUUUUGGGAUAGAGGACUUUUGUAAACGAUGGGCCUGACGUCAGGGGUGUCCUCACGACUGUAUUUUCUGGCGAAGGUCAGAACUGUACCGACUUGCAUCGAGGCAAGAGCUUAUUGAAUAUAUACUUCUUACACAUCUAUAUCCACUGUUUCUUUCGUGCGCCCAGUGAAUUCCAUCCUAAGCUCCUUAUUCUGGUCUUACAUAUUUACCAUUCAUCUUUUUUUUAGUAAGUGUUCUACGAUAUAUGAUACAUAAUAAGGUGUUACAAGUAAGUAUGUUGCGAAUUAUAAAGUAUGUUUGGUCUCAUUUUAAUCAGAAAAAUUUCAGGAAUAUGAUGGUAAAAGUUUCACAACAAAACAGUUAAUAAUAAAAAAGUUUCAUCGUUGCAUUACAUUGUCUCACCGACAUACCCAGAUGUUCUAUCUCCGUCCUCUUCCUUUAUUCGCUGUCCUCCUCUACGUUCGAAGCUUGUCGGCAACUAUUAUGACAAUACCACUGUUGUAAUUAAAACGUAAGUAUAAUACUUUUGUAUUAUAUUACUUUAUAUUAUAUUUUCUAUUUUUUUUUUUAUUUAAUUUUGUUUUUCAGGCACGGCUGGCGGAGAUUUAAUAUUCUUUAUAUAUUGUUUAUCAUUUCGAAUGUUCCUGUAUGAAAUUUAAUUAAUUAUUGAAAGGGUGAAAACAGCACCUAACGUGCGGGUAAAACCCAUAUUUUUUUAAAUGAUUUGAAAACUAGGACAAACAACGGCAGCUAACAACUGACCGGGAGUGGUGACUCCUUACCAUAGCACCGAGAGCCCAUGCUACUCGGGAGAGGUAAGAACCGGGCGUAGACGGGGCAACUCGUAACGCGACCGGAAGGCUGUCUGCGAGAUCAUAAGCGCCCGAAUGCAACGCAUCGUUUGAUCUUGUCGAAUCUUAUUGUUAGAUGGGUUUACUAAUUGCCGCGACGAGUCGGCGAACUGUUCGCGUGUGGAUAUCGGUCAAGAGAGUAAAGCCGAAAAAGUCCCUCGUGGGGCCUUUUGUGCUAAAGUUCCGAUAGCUUGCAUUUAGGGAAGAAAUAUCAAACGACACCGUCAAAGUGCAGAUCGCGCCCGUUCGACGGCGAAUGCCGAGUGAUCAUCGACGAGCAGGCUUUGUGUCUGGACGCGGAGCCGCGAGUCGGACGCGAAAAGAAGAAACCGCGCGACAAUAACCCGAAGGAGGACACGUGCCGCAAGCACGUGCCAAAUUCUCGAAGGUUCGAUGGAGUUUUGGUAGGAAACUCAGGAGGGGAUGGAUAUUAUAAAGCGGCAUCAAAUCAGUCGUCAGUCAGAUAUAAUCGUGAAACCGUCGAAGAAUAAUAUAUUAGUAGUACAGCAGUAAAUACCGAGCAGAAAAUGGCCCAAAGCAAUGAUAAGUAUAAUUCCAACUUCAGUGGAAAAUAAAUAUACUGCAUAAUUGAAACACAUUCAUGUAAUAUAUAUCCUAUAUAUCUUUUUUCUCUUUCAGAAGAAAAUAUGUGCUUGAAUUUAGAGGAACAAAUGUACAAAAAGAUGGAGGAAAUGCAAAUAUGUAUGCAGCAGAGGGAGGAGCACAGCAGCAGCAACAGCAGCGGCAACAGGAGCAGGUGCUGCUGGCUCUGCAGCAGUUGCAAGCACAGCAAAUAGACUUCCAACGGCGAUUCCAGACACAGCAGCAGCAGCCGCAACAGCAACAAAGAAAAGCUGAAAAUAUGGUCGUGAAAAAUAUGGAACUCCUGCGCCGCAUAGUUCCGGGUUAGGUCGCCAGAGUAGCGCCCCGAUCACGCUACCGCGUGAAGCGCUGCACCCCCGCCACGAGAACUACCCCCGUCGCGCGCCGCUAACAAACUUGAAGCCAGCAGGAUUACUCCAGACACCAGUAUUGCAACAACGAUUUGAAGUAGUUGCAAUGGACCUAUUCGGACCUCUCCCACCAGGACCUCAAAAUGAAAAAUGGGUUUUCAUUGUGGAAGAUUAUGCUACAAGAUGGACGGCGUUAUUCGCAUUGGACAACGCGACAAAAGAAAAUUGUGCGUAGACUUUAGUCAACGAAAUUUUUCUCCGAUUUGGUGUUCCACGGCGCUUGAUCAGCGAUAAUAGGACACAAUUCAUAAGCAGUAUGAUACAGCAGAUCACGUAUUGUUUAAAUAUCGAUCACAAGUUCACACCUGUAUACCAUCCAAGUGCUAACCCAGUAGAACGAAGGAAUAGGAAACUCAAGACACAACUCUCUAUAUUGCUGGGAAAUAUAGAGAGCAUAAGCAAUGGCCCUCCAAACUUCCAGCAAUUCGUUUUGCUAUCAACACGACAAUAUGUCAAGGUACUGCCUUUACCCCGGCGGAUCUAAUGGUCGCCAGGGAACUCAGAGCCCCAGCGGAAAAUACAAGUGAUUUACGUCAGAUAAUCAAUAACGAGAACUUCAUACCGGAAGUAACACUAAGAUUACUUCAAAUGACGGAAGUACUGGACAAGGCACGAGAAACCCAUGAACAGGAACAAGAUCAGAGAAAACUUAAUGCAGAUGCUAAACGACGCCCUGCACCUACUUACAACCCAGGAGAGAAGGUUUGGGUUACCUCUCAUGCCCAAUAAAAAGAAACAGUUUAUAUAAUUUUCCAAAUUUAUUUCAUUUCCUUCAAACUAAUCCCCAUUAGUUGAAUCCCUAAUAGAUGAUAGGCAUUAGUCAAUUGAAUUUCAUUUUAAUAUUUAAAAAUGAAUGAUGUUUAUUCUAGAUUUAGAAAAAAAAAAUAUUUUUGUAAUAUUAAAUAAAUUAAAUUAAAUAAAUAAA